UACAGAGGGUGCAAGCGUUGUUCGGAAUUAUUGGGCGUAAAGGGCGCGUAGGCGGUGCGGUAAGUCUGUAGUGAAAUCUCUGGGCUCAACUCAGAGUCUGCUGCAGAAACUGCCGUGCUUGAGUGUGGGAGAGGUGAGUGGAAUUCCCCGGUGUAGCGGUGAAAAUGCGUAGAUAUCGGGGAGGAACACCUGUGGCGAAAGCGGCUCACUGGACCACAACUGACGCUGAGGCGCGAAAGC
rnacentral:rRNA from 1 species